UACGUAGGGUGCGAGCGUUGUCCGGAUUUAUUGGGCGUAAAGAGCUUGUAGGCGGCUCGUCACGUCGGGUGUGAAAACUCGCGGCUCAACCGCGAGCCUGCACCCGAUACGGGCGGGCUAGAGUUCGGCAGGGGAGACUGGAAUUCCUGGUGUAGCGGUGGAAUGCGCAGAUAUCAGGAGGAACACCGGUGGCGAAGGCAGCUCGCUGGGACGGUACUGACGCUGAGACGCGAAAGCGUGGGGAGCAAACAGG
rnacentral:rRNA from 1 species